CUAAAUAAUCCCAGUUUGUAUAUAGGUUCUAUCAUACUGCGUAUUAUGCAGGCUUAAUUUUAUGCCAACAAUUUUUGCACCUACAAUGAAUAACAGGUGAAACUGGGAGUCCUUAGACAUCUUACUACUGCAUUGCACCAACAAAUCAGGAGGUUAGUUGUCUAAGUGCUACCAGCCAUGCCCGCAGUUCAUUGCAGCUGCUUUUAUUUGGAAAAUCAUGCCCCUAAGUCUGAAGGCCUGUCUGAAAAUCACCCCAUUCUUUGCUUACCUGCAGAAGCAGACAAAGAGGGAGAGAGGGAUGCACACGCAGACAUCAACACACAGAUUUUCAGCCUGAAUUUGUAUCACUUUUGGUUCUUCAAAGGUAAACAAAUAGAUCGGUGUUGUUUUUCCCCUCCUUCAGCUGCUGAGCUGGUGAGCCGUGUCUUUUGUAGAGAGAGCCCUUUAAAAGCUCUGGGAAGCAGUUCCAGCAUUUUCUAUAGGUGCAGACAGAUAAUUGAAUGCUUUCUAAGAACACUGUGAGGCAGGAAAACUUCAAUUUUGCAGCAUCGUAUUCCCUGCAUGGACUGAGCUUUGUGCCUUGGUUUGUGAUGGUUAUUCCCUGUUCUUCUCACAGCUAUUCUUCUGGAUGUACUUAUAGAGCACAGAAGCAGAGCAUAGAGGCUCUUGGUUACAAGACCCUGCAGAAGACUGGAGCACCUUCAGCACCCCAAUGGGAGAGAGCCUGCUCAUCUGAACCUCAUGCAGCUACAAUUAACUGCACAAGGGAUGGUUUUCUUUUUUCAACUAAAAUUUCCUGGGAGGAAAUGACAAUAAUCCAAGCUCAUAGUGCAGACCAGGGGCAUUUUCAAAGGCACAAAGUGGAGUAGGGUGCCUACCUGCCUUUUGUGCCUUGGGAAAACAUGUGGCUGUUAUGGGCUGCUCCAGGAACACUAGCUUUUGUUUUUUGUAAUUUCGAAACAUUUAUCUCUGGGUCUGUGUGGCAGUGUAUGCACACCCCAUCUCCUGGCAGGGUGGAUAGUGGGUGUGGUGCCACAGUUACAAUACCAGACUGUCGUGGGCAUCACCAUGAUGAGGUCCAAUGGCCAGAAUCCCUACCACAGCCUUCAGGUACAGGGCAGCAUGGCCUAGCAGCUAGAUCCAGGGGCCACCACCAGAUGGGGUGGCAGCCAGGGUAGGGGGACCCAGGCCCACCUGACUUCACUGGGUCCCAACCUUGUGCCUUAAUGGCAGAGUGAUCUACCGCUGGGUCAGUAGGGAAUCCAACCUCAACAUGCUAGCCUUAGAUGGGUGGGAGAUAGCACUCACUCACUCACCCACCCUUCCUGGGUCACUUCCUACCAGGUUCCUGAAGCUGCAGUCCACAGGGCAACAGGUCUUCAGUCCAGGUCACAGGAUCUCCAGCUCCUGCACUACAGCCUCCACCACAUAUCCUUCCUUCUUGGCAGACAAACCAGAUCUCCUGACCUAUAAGAAUCUCUACAUUGAGCAGCAAAGAGUCCUGUGGCACCUUAUAGACUAACAGACAUAUUGGAGCAUGAGCUUUUGUGGGUGAAGACCCACUUCAUCUGAUACAUGUGAUACAUUGAGCAGAGGGCUCAGCUAAUCCAGCCCAAGUGAAAUUAACUGGAAACAGACAAGCACUAUGUGAUAAUGGCAUCAUAAGCAGCAAGGAAGUGAAAUCCAAGGAACAGACAAAGGAUUUUUGUAAUACGUACUGAACAGAAAUGCUAUUUGAACAGUUGGGAGAAAAGGUCUCUGAAGGGUCCCCCAUGUUGCAGUUU